rnacentral:rRNA from 1 species
CCUACGGGGGGCAGCAGUGGGGAAUAUUGGACAAUGGGGGGAACCCUGAUCCAGCCAUGCCGCGUGUGUGAAGAAGGCCCUCGGGUUGUAAAGCACUUUCAGUGAGGAAGAACGCCUGGUGGUUAAUACCCAUCAGGAAAGACAUCACUCACAGAAGAAGCACCGGCUAACUCCGUGCUAGCAGCCGCGGUAAUACGGAGGGUGCGAGCGUUAAUCGGAAUUACUGGGCGUAAAGCGCGCGUAGGUGGCUUGAUAAGCCGGUUGUGAAAGCCCUGGGCUCAACCUGGGAACGGCAUCCGGAACUGUCAAGCUAGAGUGCAGGAGAGGAAGGUAGAAUUCCCGGUGUAGCGGUGAAAUGCGUAGAGAUCGGGAGGAAUACCAGUGGCGAAGGCGGCCUUCUGGACUGACACUGACACUGAGGUGCGAAAGCGUGGGUAGCAAACAGGAUUAGAUACCCUUGUAGUC